GACGAAUGCUGGCUGCGUGCUUAACACAUGCAAGUCGAACGGUGAACCAGGGCUUGCCCUGGGGAUCAGUGGCGAACGGGUGAGUAACACGUGGGCAACCUGCCCCUCACUCUGGGAUAACUCCGGGAAACCGGGGCUAAUACCGGAUAUGACCUGGUGCGACAUCACACCAGGUGGAAAGAAUUUCGGUGAGGGAUGGGCCCGCGGCCUAUCAGCUUGUUGGUGGGGUAACGGCCCACCAAGGCGACGACGGGUAGCCGGCCUGAGAGGGCGACCGUGCACACUGGGACUGAGACACGGCCCAGACUCCUACGGGAGGAAGCAGUGGGGAAUAGUGCGCAAGGGGCGAAAGCCUGACGCAGCGACGCAGCGUGAGGGACGACGGCCUUCGGGUUGUAAACCUCUUUCAGCGGGGACGAAGCGAAAGUGACGGUACCCGCAGAAGAAGCACCGGCUAACUACGUGCCAGCCGCCGCCGUAACAC
rnacentral:rRNA from 1 species